rnacentral:rRNA from 1 species
GAUGAACGCUGGCGGCGUGCCUAAUACAUGCAAGUCGAGCGAACGGACGAGAAGCUUGCUUCUCUGAUGUUAGCGGCGGACGGGUGAGUAACACGUGGAUAACCUACCUAUAAGACUGGGAUAACUUCGGGAAACCGUAGCUAAUACCGGAUAAUAUUUUGAACCGCAUGGUUCAAAAGUGAAAGACGGUCUUGCUGUCACUUAUAGAUGGAUCCGCGCUGCAUUAGCUAGUUGGUAAGGUAACGGCUUACCAAGGCAACGAUGCAUAGCCGACCUGAGAGGGUGAUCGGCCACACUGGAACUGAGACACGGUCCAGACUCCUACGGGAGGCAGCAGUAGGGAAUCUUCCGCAAUGGGCGAAAGCCUGACGGAGCAACGCCGCGUGAGUGAUGAAGGUCUUCGGAUCGUAAAACUCUGUUAUUAGGGAAGAACAUAUGUGUAAGUAACUGUGCACACCUUGACGGUACCUAAUUAGAAAGCCACGGCUAACUACGUG